rnacentral:lncRNA from 1 species
AUGUUUACAGAGCCGCGCGCACAUUCCCACACACCCGGGCCUCCCACCCAGCAAGGACCCGCUCCCUGGCCCCCAGGCCCACUGCCCGCCAUGGUAGCACAGCUGGGCGGAAAAGGAAGGUCUAGGGGACAGGGCCCACGCCUGUGCCCAUCUCAAAACCCCAGUCCUUCGAGGCACACCUGCACUGGGGCCCUCCGAGGAACCAGAGACCUAGGGGAAGCUGGGGUCCUGGGCGGCCCCCAUGCUGUGCUCACAAGCGUGCCCCCCACUUCCUUGGGCAGGUCACGACUCUGCUCCGCCAAGGAAGCCUGGACCAUCCACGUGCCCCCCGAGAGGCGAAGCAGCAGGGACGGCCCUGCCAAGUGGGCAGGGGCUACCGCAUCAGCACCUGGUCAGCACUGCAGCCAAGCUCCUCUCCAGCAGCCCCCAAGGAACGAUGCCCUCACAUUCUGUCUCACACCCACCAGCCAACAAAAUGCCAGCAUCGCCACGCACAAGCACCUGGCGCCCCUGAGCUCCUCUGAGUUUUGGUGGAGUCACCAGAGAAGUGCAGUGUUCCGCGCCACAGCGGGGGGCCUGGGUGGCCAGGUCUGGUCUGAGUUUCUGCUGUGAGGCCCCAACCGCCGACCUAGGUAAGGCUGCAGCGCUCACGCCCCAUGUCCCUGGAGCAGCGCUGGGCAGCAAAGUUCUCCGGCACCACCUAUAACUUGGAACAGCUCUUAGGUGACCGGUUUUCUGAUGGAAGACGUAGUGUUUUCAACCCAAGGCCAGACACCUCAACGUGACGCACAACUAAACAAGGCUCAGCGGGGGAAUCAUUUCCUCUCAAGGAAAAGGAACCGCCAGCAGCCUCAGAUGGAGGCAACUCCUGCGGCUGCAGCUGGGGAUAAGUGACGAAGCCAGGACGCUGGGUGCCCCCUUCUAGGAUCCAGACCGAUGGCCUGGGCUCCAUAAAGCGUAGGGCAGGGCAGCUCCGCCCAGGGAGGCACCUUGCAGAGGGUGACGAUCCAGAGCCCGGGGCUCCCGGUGGCAGGGCAGGCAGGCCAGGGUCAGCCGCCCAGAACUGUGUUUUCGGGAGCAGCUGAGCCCCAGGCAGCGACCUCAGCUCCCGGAGGAUCAUGUUUUCCCUUUUAAUUUUCAUUUUAGAGACAAGGUCCCACUCUGUCACCCAGGCUGGAAUGCAGUGGUGCCAUCCUGGCUCACUGCAGACCUCCUGAGCUCAAGCGGUCCUCCUGCCUCAGCUUCCCGAGCAGCUGGGACUACAGGUGGGCACCACCACACCCAGAGAAUUUUAAACUUUUUUGUAGAGACGGGAUCUCACCAUGUUGCCCAGGCUGGUCUCGAGCUCCUGGACUCAAGUGAUCCUCCUGCCUCAGUCUCCCAAAGUGCUGGGAUUACAGGCAUGAGCCACCAUGCCCAGCCAUUUUUAACUUUUUAAGUCCCAGCUAAUACUCACUGGUCACCUGUGGGUCUGGCCCUGCUCAGUGGGGGAUUGGCAGCCCUGGCAUCUCUUGCUGUGCUGGCACAAGCUGAGAAGGACCUGCUCUGGGGUCCAGGAGGGAACAGUUUCUCCUUAAAGUUGGGACUGGGCACAGUGGCUCUUGCCUGUAAUCUCAACACCUUCGGAGGCCAAAUGCUUGAGCCCAGUAGCUUUAGACCAGCCUGGACAACAUAGCAAGACCCCAUCUCUAAAAAAAAAAAAAAAAAACCAUAAUUUUUUUUUUUUUUGAGACGGAGUCUCGCUCUGUCGCCCAGGCUGGAGUGCAGUGGUCGAAUCUCAGCUCACUGCAAGCUCCGCCUCCCGGGUUUACGCCAUUCUCCAGCCUCAGCUUCCUGAGUAGCUGGGACUACAGGCGCCCACCACCUCGCCCGGCUAGUUUUUUGUAUUUUUUUAGUAGAGACGGGGUUUCACUGUGUUAGCCAGGAUGGUCUCGAUCUCCUGAAAAAACCAUAAUUUUUAAAUAGCCAGGUGUGAUGGCACAUGCCUAUGGUCCCGACUACUCGGGAGGCUGAGGUGGGAGGAUUGCUUGAGCCACGAAGUCGAGAUUGCAGUGAGCUGUGAUCACACCACUGCACUCCAGCAGCCUGAGUGACAGAGCAAGACCCUGUCUCUUAAAAAAAAAAGAGAGUGCAAAAGUGAGUUGAACAGCUGAUGGCUGGAUGACCCCUCUGAACAGUCCUGGCUGUGGAUGCCCAUGGAGAAACGGGGAUUUCAGCUUCAGGGCUCUGAUUCUUCCCGGAUGAGAGGACGCAUCAGGGCCGCUGCUCGCUCUCCAAGGCCGGCAUGGGGGCUCUGGAUGGGUCACUUGUUCUCUCCCAAGGGGUGAAUGACAAGGCAGACCCCACGCCCCACCCCCGCGGCCACCCAGCCGGUCUGACCGAGACGGAGCGGCCCUUCCACUUCUAUCCUCCACGGGUCUCCGAGGCUGUGGGAUGCGGGAGAGGGAGGAGGGGUGGGAGGAAGACCAGGAACGGAGGACGGGAGUUGUGUGCGAGACUCGGGUUUAGAAAUCCAGGAGUACAGCAGUAAGCACCCUCCCGCUCUCCCUCACCAGUGACUCCCACGACAGGUGCAAUCCACAAAACCAGAGGCCGCCCAGGGUGUACCUGCCUCUCCCAGGAGCCUUUCUGCCAGAGACCCCAAGCCAGGCACCCUCCACAGGGGGCCACAAGGGUAGGUGGGGCCACUGUGGCACUGGUACCCAGUGGGCACCUGUCAAACAGGUGUCAACCGACUAACUGCAGCCCGGCUGGUCCCAGAGACCAGCCAGACACCCUUCCUACUGAGGAUGAGGACCCACUGUCCGGCUGUCCUGGACAUGGGAAAUGCGGGAGGCACCCCACUUGGCACCCCCCAGCCCGGCCCGCACCAGCCGGCAGCCUGGCCCUGGCUGGCUGCCCUCCAGCAAGCCACGACUGUCCGCCUGGCUUGGAGGACGUCUGGUCACCUUGCAUUUGCAGUCUGAGGAAGCUGUGUCAUUCCGCUACAUCCAGAGGUGACUCAGGCAGCUGCAGCAGCAGAGAGCAAACUGCAGAACACACCACACCCCCUCCAGUCCCUGCCCUGGCUCCCAACACACCAUCCUCCUGUCCUCGGCUUCCAGCUUCCCGUCAGCGUCCUGUUCUCCCUGGCCACCCUGGGGCUUCAAUCUGCUCCCAGCUUCCAAGUCCAACCAGGGGCAUUCCGGGGGGCCCAGAUGCCCCCCAGCCCCCAACCGCAUCACUCACCGGAGUUGCCCCCACCCCUGUCUCUUUUCCUCGUCCACGCUCCAACCGGGCUUGAUCCCAGCCCUCAAGCAUCUCCCGCCCGAACCCACAGCACCUGCCCAGGCUCCGGCCUCCAGCUUCUCCCGUGUGGACCACAGCUUUGCCAAAGGGAUGCCCUCACCCUGAUCCUGGUGCCCCCCACGCAGCCCCACAGGCAGUCAAAAGUUUUGGGGUUCCUCCCAAACCCCGACCCCCUCACCCCAACGCCGUU